rnacentral:rRNA from 1 species
GACGAACGCUGGCGGCGUGCUUAACACAUGCAAUUCGAACGGAAAGGCCCUGCUUUUGUGGGGUGCUCGAGUGGCGAACGGGUGAGUAACACGUGAGUAACCUGCCCUUGACUUUGGGAUAACUUCAGGAAACUGUGUCUAAUACCGGAUAUGAGCUCCUGCUGCAUGGUGGGGGUUGGAAAGUUUCGGCGGUUGGGGAUGGACUCGCGGCUUAUCAGCUUGUUGGUGGGGUAGUGGCUUACCAAGGCUUUGACGGGUGGCCGGCCUGAGAGGGUGACCGGCCACAUUAGGAAUGAGAUACGGCCCAGACUCCUACGGGAGGCAGCAGUGGGGAAUAUUGCACAAUGGGCGGAAGCCUGAUGCAGCAACGCCGCGUGCGGGAUGACGGCCUUCGGGUUGUCAACCGCUUUCGCCUGUGACGAAGCGUGAGUGACGGUAAUGGGUAAAGAAGACCAGGCUAACUACGUG